UAUAAUGAUGAAUUCAUAGACUAGAGUCUCUGACUGUAAUGUGAAGUUUUCACAGUGCUCUGAACA